rnacentral:rRNA from 1 species
CGGGGUGGAGUAACGCGUGGGUAACCUGCCUUGUACUGGGGGACGAACAGUUGGAAACGACUGCUAAUACCGCAUAAGCGCACAGCUUCGCAUGAAGCAGUGUGAAAAACUCCGGUGGUACAAGAUGGACCCGCGUCUGAUUAGCUGGUUGGUGAGGUAACGGCCCACCAAGGCGACGAUCAGUAGCCGGCCUGAGAGGGUGAACGGCCACAUUGGGACUGAGACACGGCCCAA